GAUGAAGAACGUAGCGAAAUGCGAUAAGUAAUGUGAAUUGCAGAAUUCAGUGAAUCAUCGAAUCUUUGAACGCACAUUGCGCCCAUUAGUAUUCUAGUGGGCAUGCCUGUUCGAGCGUCAUUUCAACCCUUAAGCCUAGCUUAGUAUUGGGAAUCGACUUUACUGUCGUUCCUCAAAUUCAACGGCGGAUUUAUAGCAAUCUCUGAACGUAGUAAUUUUUUUUCUCGUUUUUGAAAUACUAUAAACCUCAGCCGCUAAACCCCCAAUUUCUUAUGGUUGACCUCGGAUCAGGUAGGAAUACCCGCUGAACUUAAGCAUAUCAAUAACCGGAGGA
rnacentral:misc_RNA from 1 species